ACUUAUAUGAUGACUAUACCGCCCCAGUCUUAAUUGAAUGAUGAUGGGUAUUUUCUGAAUAAUA
rnacentral:snoRNA from 1 species